ensembl:ncRNA C06E7.90 ncRNA
UGUACCGGUAAAUUGCGUAUUCCAUCGCAUUCAUACCUCUUUCUCUCUUUUUCUUUUCCAGGGGUCCUCUGCCUGCUUAUUCUCUCAGUUUCCUGUGCGGAAUAAAAUCGGAGAGGGCGGAGUCUCCGCCAUGCGGGG